AUUGAACGCUGGCGGCAGGCCUAACACAUGCAAGUCGAGGGGUAUAGUUCUUCGGAGCUAGAGACCGGCGCACGGGUGCGUAACGCGUAUGCAAUCUACCUUUUGCAGAGGGAUAGCCCAGAGAAAUUUGGAUUAAUACCUCAUAGUAUGUGAGAAUGGCAUCAUUUUCACAUUAAAGUCACAACGGCAAAAGAUGAGCAUGCGUCCCAUUAGCUUGUUGGUAAGGUAACGGCUUACCAAGGCAACGAUGGGUAGGGGUCCUGAGAGGGAGAUCCCCCACACUGGAACUGAGACACGGACCAGACUCCUACGGGAGGCAGCAGUGAGGAAUAUUGGACAAUGGGCGCAAGCCUGAUCCAGCCAUGCCGCGUGCAGGAUGACGGUCCUAUGGAUUGUAAACUGCUUUUGUACAGGAAGAAACACUGGUUCGUGAACCAGCUUGACGGUACUGUAAGAAUAAGGAUCGGCUAACUCCGUGCCAGCCGCCGCAGUAAUAC
rnacentral:rRNA from 1 species